CUACGGGGUGCAGCAGUGGGGAAUAUUGCACAAUGGGGGGAACCCUGAUGCAGCAACGCCGCGUGGAGGAUGACACAUUUCGGUGCGUAAACUCCUUUUAUAUAAGAAGAUAAUGACGGUAUUAUAUGAAUAAGCACCGGCUAACUCCGUGCCAGCAGCCGCGGUAAUACGGGGGGUGCAAGCGUUACUCGGAAUCACUGGGCGUAAAGAGCAUGUAGGCUGGUUUGUAAGUUGGAAGUGAAAUCCUAUGGCUUAACCAUAGAACUGCUUCCAAAACUACUUACCUAGAGUAUGGGAGAGGUAGAUGGAAUUUCUGGUGUAGGGGUAAUAUCCGUAGAGAUCAGAAGGAAUACCGAUUGCGAAGGCGAUCUACUGGAACAUUACUGACGCUCAGAUGCGAAAGCGUGGGGAGCAAACAGGAUUAGAUACCCGCGUAGUC
rnacentral:rRNA from 1 species